rnacentral:rRNA from 1 species
CUACGGGUCGCUCCAGUGGGGAAUCUUGCGCAAUGGGCGAAAGCCUGACGCAGCAACGCCGCGUGCGGGAUGAAGGCCUUCGGGCUGUAAACCGCUUUCAGCAGGAACGAAAAUGACGGUACCUGCAGAAGAAGGAGCGGCCAACUACGUGCCAGCAGCCGCGGUGACACGUAGGCUCCAAGCGUUGUCCGGAUUUAUUGGGCGUAAAGGGCUCGUAGGCGGUUGAGUAAGUCGGGUGUGAAAACUCUGGGCUUAACCCGGAGACGCCAUCCGAUACUGCUCUGACUAGAGUUCAGGAGGGGAGUGGGGAAUUCCUAGUGUAGCGGUGACAUGCGCAGAUAUUAGGAGGAACACCGGUGGCGAAGGCGCCACUCUGGACUGAAACUGACGCUGAGGAGCGAAAGCAUGGGUAGCAAACAGGAUUAGAUACCCUGGUAGUC